rnacentral:ncRNA from 2 species
UCUUACCACUAGGGGCGCUCGUUAGGGCUGAGAUAGAGUAUAGACUUUAGUCCCUUCUACCUGAUCUAGAUAAUACUAGCGUAGGGAAGUGGCUUUUGAUUAGU